rnacentral:rRNA from 1 species
UACGUAGGGGGCAAGCGUUGUCCGGAGUUACUGGGCGUAAAGGGUCCGCAGGCGGUCGCCUACGUUUGCUGUGACAGUGCCCGGCUUAACUGGGCAAGGAUAGCGAAAACGGGACGACUUGAGGCGAGCAGAGGGAUGCGGAAUUCCGGGUGGAGCGGUGAAAUGCGUAGAGAUCCGGAGGAACACCAAUGGCGAAGGCAGCAUCCUGGGCUUGUCCUGACGCUACGGGACGAAAGCCAGGGGAGCGAACGGG